CCUACGGGUGUCAGCAGUGGGGAAUAUUGGGCAAUGGAGGCAACUCUGACCCAGCACUGCCGCGUGAGUGAUGAAGGUAAUUUUAUUGUACAGCUCUUUUCUUUGGAACGAAUAAAUGACGGUACCAAAGGAAUAAGCCCCGGCUAACUACGUGCCAGCAGCCGCGGUAAUACGUAGGGGGCAAGCGUUGUUCGGAAUGACUGGGCGGAAAGGGUGUGUAGGUGGGUGUAUAAGUUAGAUGUGUAAUACACAGGGCUUAACUCGGGUGCUGCAGCUAAAACUGUUAGACGUGAGUACUGGAGAGGAUAGUGGAAUUCCUAGUGUAGCGGUGGAAGGCGUAGAUAUUAGGAGGAACAUCAGGGGCGAAGGCGACUAUCUGGACAGCAACUGACACUGAGGCACGAAAGCGUGGGGAGCAAACAGGAUUAGAUACCCCGGUAGUC
rnacentral:rRNA from 1 species